rnacentral:rRNA from 1 species
UACGUAGGGGGGCAAGCGUUGUCCGGAUUUAUUGGGCGUAAAGAGCGUGUAGGCGGCCGUACAGGUCAGCUGUGAAAACUCGAGGCUCAACCUCGAGACGUCGGUUGAAACCGUACGGCUAGAGUCCGGAAGAGGAGAGUGGAAUUCCCGGUGUAGCGGUGAAAUGCGCAGAUAUCGGGAAGAACACCCGUGGCGAAGGCGGCUCUCUGGGACGGUACUGACGCUGAGACGCGAAAAGCGUGGGGGAGCGAACAGG